rnacentral:rRNA from 1 species
AGAUGGCGACCGGCGCACGGGUGAGUAACACGUAUCCAACCUGCCGAUAACUCGGGGAUAGCCUUUCGAAAGAAAGAUUAAUACCCGAUGGCAUAAUUAGACCGCAUGGUCUUGUUAUUAAAGAAUUUCGGUUAUCGAUGGGGAUGCGUUCCAUUAGGCAGUUGGUGAGGUAACGGCUCACCAAACCUUCGAUGGAUAGGGGUUCUGAGAGGAAGGUCCCCCACAUUGGAACUGAGACACGGUCCAA